UACAGAGGUCUCAAGCGUUGUUCGGAUUCAUUGGGCGUAAAGGGUGCGUAGGUGGCGCGGUAAGUCGGGUGUGAAAUUUCGGAGCUUAACUCCGAAACUGCAUUCGAUACUGCGGUGCUUGAGGACUGGAGAGGAGACUGGAAUUUACGGUGUAGCAGUGAAAUGCGUAGAGAUCGUAAGGAAGACCAGUGGCGAAGGCGGAUCUCUGGACAGUUACUGACACUGAGGCACGAAGGCCAGGGGAGCAAACGGG
rnacentral:rRNA from 1 species